GUGAUGUUAUUCUGUAUCACUCGCUUGCUGCACUGUGAAGUUACUAUUUUCCACUUUGUAAUUAAGUAUUUUCUGGAAAGAGACUUUGAAUCUAUAGACAACCUGUUUUUCAUCAGUUUUUAUCACCAUUUAGAUCUCUGGAUGAUUCGUGCUUCUAAUUCUGAUACCAAAGGAAGAGAUUUGUCUUCUCCAUUUAUUUAUUCAUUUAUGUAGUAUGGACUCACUGAUUCCUAUAUGUACAAUGAGUUCCAGUUUGUUACUUUUCUCAUUUAUUGAGCUCCUCAGAUUGUCCCAGGUUUGGCCACUGCAGGCCAUUCAGGCUGUUCUCAGGUCCUUUUGACAUUCUUCAUUUGUUAGCACUGCCUUUGCUUUCUGGCACAGUAAACUGUUCCAAGCUCAUUCUAUAUGUUCCUUCCCCCAGCUAUAGAAUAAGUUCUUUUCCCAAGAAGUCCUGGGGUUUUUGUGGAGAAGGUUUUGGAAAGCAAGACCUGAGUGCUGGAUGUGUGCAUUGUUACCAGACACUAACUCCUAAGGCCUUUCAGCAGAAAGCUAGGUAACAGAUGUGUGUGUGCUUACACAUACACACCAUCUUGUAGAAACUCCCACACCUGUCAGUAUAUUAAAAAUCACCAGUUCAGUUUCACCACAGAGCUUAUUCUACUCUUCCCUUUUCCCUAACAACCUAGCCUUUUUUUAAAAAACAGAAAUAUGGUUCCUAUUAUCUUCAGUAUAUUUACUGAAUAUUUUUGCUCAGUCCUAGACUAUACUAAUAGUCUCAGAAUUGUUAAUCCAUAAUCAUUGUAAAAACAUAUUGAUUGCUCAUUGUUUGUCUACAAGUCUUCUAUUGGUUUGAGGCUAUACACUCAAUAUACCAUGGUCAAGCCAGACUUGGUGGCGCACACCUGUGAUCCCAGCACUUGGGAGGCUGAGGCAGGAGGAUCACCAUGAGUUCAUGGCCAGCCUGGGCUACAUAAUGAGUUGAAGGCCAGCCUAAACUACAGAGUAAAAUCCUGUCUCAAAAAACAAACAAAAAAACCCCCAAAAUACUAUGUUAAAAAUAUCCUUGAGUCUUGGUUUUGUCUUUUUUCUCCUUCACAGUGGGUAGGUUUGUUUUUGUUGUGUUCCAUAUUAAUGGUUUCCUAUCUUGUCAGUUUCCUUUUUUAUAGGCUAGUGAGUCAAUUUUUAAACCAUAAAACUUCUUCAAAAGGACUUUAGGAAAACAGAGACAUAAAUGGCGAAGUCUUAUUCAUUCUUAGACAUAAUAUCUUUGGGGGCAGGGAUAUUUGAUUUGGUACUGGGGAUCGAACUCAGGACCUUGCACUUUCGAGGCAGGUGCCGUGCCACUGAGCUAAAUCCCCAGCCCAGGUGUUUUGUUUUUUGAGACAGGGUCUUGCUUUGUAGUUCAGGCUGGCCUUGAACUCACUAUGUAGCCCAGUAUGGCCUCAUGGCAAUCCUUCUGCCUCAGUUUCCCAAGUGCUGGGAUUACAAGUGUGCACUCCCACACCUGGUGACGCAAUGUCUUGAGGGUUAAAAUUUUUCCUAAAUUUUCCAUGGAUUCAGUACAGCCUCAGUCAAAAUAUGAAUAGAAAUAAUUUGGGAACUAAUCCAAAUUAUCCUGAGUAGCAAGUCUCUUAACAUUUGUUUAGUAGCAAAUAAAGACAUCCAUUCAACUAACAUUAAGUUAGAUGAGGAAUUUUUUUUUUUUUUUGUACCAGGGAUCAAACUUGGAACCUUGUGCUUGUGAGGCAGGUGGCAGCACCACUGAGCUAAAUCCCUGCCCCUAGAUGAGGAAUUUAUUGGAGAGCUGUAGACAAACCCACUUUAUGCCACUGAGAACAGUGGAGCACGGACAAGAACAACUUCAAGUUCUCUUUGCCCUGUGUCCAUUUCAUUCCUUUAAAAUAUUUCAGAUAAAUCAUGAGUGGUGGUGCAUGCCUGUAAUCCCAGUGCUCGGGAGGCUAAAGAAGGAAGAUUGUGAGUUUGAGGCAGGUCUGGGCUACAUAGUUCAAGGCCAGGCUGAACUAUAUAAUGAGAGGCUGCUUUCAUACAGAAAGGAAGGGGGGAGAGAGAAAGGAAACAGCUACCCUAAAUUUGCUGCCUGGUUCAUAGCCCUCACACAUCAAGGACAGGACCACUUUGUGAAAUAACAGGACUACCUUCAAAUGCAUCUACUCAGUCUAGCUACUGUUCUUUGAGCUAUCAGGGGGAUGGGUCUCUGCAGGCCAAAGUCCGGGGUUAAAAAUCAAGAGUUCUCUUGGGAGCCUGUCAAGUUUGAGGUGUCCAUAAGAAUCCAACUGAAGAAGCUGAGAUCUGUUGACUGAACCCUAGGCCUCAAGGAAAGAUUUGGGAAAGAGAUUUAAGUUUGAAAGUCACUGGUAUACUUUUAAAUGGGCUGAGUAUGUCACUGUGGUAGAGCACGUCCCUAGGGUGUAUGAGUGUUGGAGUCUCAGCACCUCCAAAAUAAUAUAUAAAAUGGAAUAUGAAUCCCUGGGGAAGUAUGAGAUACUUCAGGGAGAGACUGAGGAAGGGGUCUCAGGACAGAGGCCCAAGUCUCACCAACAUUGAACACUCAGGAGUGGGGGAGGAAGAGAAGCAACAUAGCACCUGUGGAAAAGAGACCUAGGUGGCCAGGAGGAGGGGCAAUUGCAUCAAACACUGUGCAGAAGGAAAUUGCUGUGCAGAAAAGAAUUGAGUCCUGGAGGCUUGCUUCCAUGAAGUUUGGAGCAGGAGCCUGGUGGGGAAGGGUCUCCACAGUCAAGGCAGGCAGAGAUAGUGGGGAGCUAGUAGAGGUGAAGGAAGGAAGAAGGAACAAAGUCUUCCCUCCACUAGCUGAGAGAGGUUGGCCUUGGACACACAGAGGCACUUCUAUGAUGCACCAGAAAGAGGAAAUGGGCAAAUACAGGUGGACAUGUAGGUACAGUAGGAAAGGGAGGCCCUUCUGUGAUAGCUUUCAGCUCCUGUGUUUUCAAAAUUGGAGAAGGCAAGAUCAUCUGUUGCGAAUGGGAGUAGAGAGCUUAUUGGAGGUGCGAACAGAAGAAAAUGUGGAAGAGUUGACUCAAGGUGAGGAAAGUCAGCUCCAUGGGCUUGAACCAGAAUGAGCUGCCUCCCCAUCUCGGCCACAGGGAACAUCUGUGCCCAGCUCAGGUUUCACCUCACCUCCACUGCAGCACCUUCCCUGAGGCAGUAACUUGCAGGGGAAACUGACACCUCCAGUUUUGAGUGCAUGCAUGGCCUGUUACCCUCCCAACUCACUGGUCAAACCUCCACACCAUGGAGACCAGUCUGCUGCAGUGUUUCAGCAGGCAGCCCUCUGUCUUUUCUCUAUCUCCAGCCUGGAUUUGAUGAUUUGAUCCCCCCCCCCGAAAAAAGAAAAGAAUGAAAGGAAAAAAACCUGGAUACAGAGGUUGCCAUGAUAUGAGCAGCUUUUUUCUGCCCAGACCUUUCCAUCAUGCCAUUUCUGCAUUGCAGCCAGCUGACUAUGGACUGAAUCUUCUAAAACCAUGAACUUAAAACUCCUCCUUUAAGUUGUGGUGUCAGGAAAUUCGAGGGACAGAAGGAUUCCAAGCAAACAGCAUAAUCACAAAUACGACAAACUUUACCAUAUCUCUGCUUCCCCACUGCCCUGCCAUCAGCAGCUUCUCCUGUGCCAUUGCCAUCUUGCCUUGGAGACACCUGACUAUGGACUGAAAUCUCUAAAAACUGAGCUUACAGCUAAGAGUUUGCCUUGAAUCUCAGAGGAGACUGGACUUGUCAACAGUGCUGACUUUGACAAUCCUUAGAGAUGGACUAAAUGAAUUUUUGCAUAAUGAGAUGGACAUUACCCUUUUGGGGGCCAGGGUCCAGAAAGCUAUGGUUUAGAUCUAAAAAGUCCCCCCAACAUCUCAGGUACUCAGGUGUAAGGCUUUUGGAAGGUGAUUGCUCAGUCAUAGGGGCACUACAUUUAUCAGUGGACUAAUGCAUCGAUGAGCUCAUGACUGAAUUUGCUGUUAGGAGGGGAGCCUGGUUGGAGGUAGGUCACUGGGGGCAAGACCUGGAAAGGUAUAUUAUUGUCCCCAGCUCUUUCCUUCUGUCUCUGCUUCCUGGCAGCCACAGAUUGAGCAGCUUUCCUCUGCCAUUCCUUUCCACCAUGCUGUCUCUGCCUUGGAGCCAGCCAACCAUGAACUGAACCCACUAGAAAUUGUGAAAUAAAACUUUCCCCUUUAACG
ensembl:lncRNA